CAAAACGUAGCUUAACUACCAAAGCAUCUGGCUUACACCCAGAAGAUCUCACUCAAUAUGAUCGUUUUGA
rnacentral:tRNA from 1 species